UACGUAGGGGGGCUAGCGUUGUCCGGAAUCAUUGGGCGUAAAGCGCGUGUAGGCGGCCUUGUAAGUCCGUUCUGAAAGCCCGGGGCUCAACCCCGGGAGGCGGAUGGAUACUGCAAGGCUCGAGUCCGGAAGAGGCGAGUGGAAUUCCCGGUGUAGCGGUGAAAUGCGCAGAUAUCGGGAGGAACACCAAUGGCGAAGGCAGCUCGCUGGGACGGUACUGACGCUGAGACGCGAAAGCGUGGGGAGCAAACAGG
rnacentral:rRNA from 1 species